GCAGAGGCAGACGGCCCUUUGUGCCCACACUCGGUGCCCUUUUUCCCCUCGGAAGAGAUGCUGUGCUUCAGGACGUGGUGCUGAGGGUACGGCCCGAACCUGCAUUGUAGGCUUCAUGUGAGCCUUCGUUCGACUUCAAAGGACGCCCUGCGCCGGAGGGCACGCCGCGGUCUGCAUAAAAACCCAACGCAUUUAAAACGAAUGAAAUUUGGGAGGAAGGACCUGACGGCUCAGGAGGAACAACCUGAAGGAUGAAUGAGGCCAUCUCUGCUCAGCGACGUUUUUUUCUGUCCUGCAGCCCCACAAACGGGGCGUUCUGUGGAGUUCUGGCACCAAAGGUCUCGGCUUUGGCGUAUCGUCGUGGAAACUGCGGGAAAUCCACUGCUAAGAUGCUGAUGGAAGUCAACACAUUGACAUAGACCCGGAACACCGUUAUCGCCGGAACGUAGUCUGGGUCCAGGUACGUGUUCUGGAAGUCUUUGACUAUUUGCCUGAAAUGCACUCGGCUGUCACGCUGCCUUUGGCGGUAUAGUGUAAAAAAUAUCCCUGCACAGAAGGCUGCGAGGAUGGCUGGAACCAGGAACAGCACCGGAGACAGGACUGUGCAGGAGAACAGCAGAGGGGCGACCAGCACGCCGAAGUCCAGCAGCAGGGCGGGCAGCCUCGAGCGUAACGGCUUCCCGCGGUGCUGGCAGUGCAG
rnacentral:lncRNA from 1 species